rnacentral:rRNA from 1 species
UACAGAGGUCCCAAGCGUUGUUCGGAUUCAUUGGGCGUAAAGGGUGCGUAGGCGGUCGGGUAAGUCUGACGUGAAAUCUUCAAGCUCAACUUGGAAACUGCGUCGGAUACUAUUCGGCUCGAGGAAUGGAGGGGAGACUGGAAUUCUCGGUGUAGCAGUGAAAUGCGUAGAUAUCGAGAGGAACACCAGUGGCGAAGGCGAGUCUCUGGACAUUUCCUGACGCUGAGGCACGAAAGCCAGGGGAGCAAACGGG